CAAACGGCCCUUUUUAGGGCCACCAAUUCUUUCAUACGAAGGACAU
rfam:Lasius niger Lnig_2.1_7078, whole genome shotgun sequence.